rnacentral:rRNA from 1 species
GAUGAACGCUGGCGGCGUGCCUAAUACAUGCAAGUCGAGCGAACGGACGAGAAGCUUGCUUCUCUGAUGUUAGCGGCGGACGGGUGAGUAACACGUGGAUAACCUACCUAUAAGACUGGGAUAACUUCGGGAAACCGGAGCUAAUACCGGAUAAUAUUUUGAACCGCAUGGUUCAAAAGUGAAAGACGGUCUUGCUGUCACUUAUAGAUGGAUCCGCGCUGCAUUAGCUAGUUGGUAAGGUAACGGCUUACCAAGGCAACGAUGCAUAGCCGACCUGAGAGGGUGAUCGGCCGCACUGGAACUGAGACACGGUCCAGACUCCUACGGGAGGCAGCAGUAGGGAAUCUUCCGCAAUGGGCGAAAGCCUGACGGAGCAACGCCGCGUGAGUGAUGAAGGUCUUCGGAUCGUAAAACUCUGUUAUUAGGGAAGAACAUAUGUGUAAGUAACUGUGCACAUCUUGACGGUACCUAAUCAGAAAGCCACGGCUAACUACGU